UACGGAGGGGGCAAGCGUUGUUCGGAAUUACUGGGCGUAAAGGGCGCGCAGGCGGCUGCUCAAGUCAGGCGUGAAAGGCCUGGGCUCAACCCGGGAAUUGCGCUUGAGACUGGGCUGGCUUGAGUGCGGGAGAGGAUAGUGGAAUUCCCAGUGUAGAGGUGAAAUUCGUAGAUAUUGGGAAGAACACCGGUGGCGAAGGCGGCCAUCUGGACCGCAACUGACGCUGAGGCGCGAAAGCGUGGGGAGCAAACAGG
rnacentral:rRNA from 1 species